rnacentral:rRNA from 1 species
CAGCCGUAAACAAUGUGCGUUAGGUGUGUCGGUAACCACACGUUACUGAUGCGCCGAAGAGAAAUCGUGAAACGCACCACCUGGGAAGUACGGUCGCAAGGCUGAAACUUAAAGGAAUUGGCGGGGGAGCACCACAACAGGUGGAGCCUGCGGUUUAAUUGGACUCAACGCCGGGAAGCUCACCGGAUAGGACAGCAGAAUGAUUGCCGGGCUGAAGACCCUGCAUGACUAGCUGAGAGGUGGUGCAUGGCGUCAGUGACU